rnacentral:ribozyme from 1 species
GAUCUUGAUGACACCAACAUCGACUCUUUCCUCAAUGAUCUAAAAGCUCAAUAAUCGACGUGAGAAAUAAAACAACAACGCCAUAAUCUAAAUACCUCGC